rnacentral:rRNA from 1 species
UCGAUAUCCCAAGUAAUACCGGACUCGUGAAAUCCGGUAUGAAUCUGGCGGGACCACCCGCUAAGCCUAAAUAUUCUCUGGUGACCGAUAGUGAACAAGUACCGUGAGGGAAAGGUGAAAAGAACCCUUUAGAAGGGAGUGAAAAGAAUCUGAAACCGUGUGCUUACAAACGGUCGGAGCACGAAAGUGUGACGGCGUGCCUUUUGCUUAAUGAGCCAACGAGCUGCUCGUCACAUGCGAGGGUAAGCCUUUAGAGAGGCGCACCCGUAGCGAAAGCGAGUCUGAAUAGGGCGAUAGUAUGUGGCGGCAAACGCGAAACCGUGUGAUCUAUCCAUGGUCAGGAUGAAGUGUAGGUAACACUACAUGGAGGUCCGAACGGGUGUGGGUUGAAAACUACUCCGAUGAACUGUGGAUAGGGGUGAAAGGCCAAUCAAACUCGGUGAUAGCUCGUACUCCCCGAAAUGUUUUUAGGAACAGCCUCGUGUUAAUGUCCCGGAGGUAGGGCUCUGAUAGGGCUAGGGCUGUCACAACGGUACCGACCCCUGAUAAACCGCAAAUACCGGAGACAUGAUGCACGGGAGUGAGGCAGCGAGGGAUAAGCUUCGUUGCCGAGAGGGAAAGAACCCAGACCGCCGAUUAAGGUCCCCAAAUAUAUGCUUACAGAGAAAGGAUGUGUAGUUGCUGAGACAACUAGGAUGUUGGCUUAGAAGCAGCCACUCAUUUAAAGAGUGCGUAAUAGCUCACUAGUCGAGCGACUAUGCGCCGAUAAUAAUCGGGACUCAAGCAUAUUACCGAAAUCGCGGACUUCGUGUAAACGAAGUGGUAGGGGAGCAUUCUGCCUGCGGAGAAGGUGUGAUGUGAGUCAUGCUGGAGCGUGCAGAAGAGCAAAUGUUGGCAUAAGUAGCGAGAAUGGAAGUGAGAAUCUUCCACGCCGAAAGUCUAAGGUUUCCUUGAGCUCUGUUCGUCAACUCAGGGUCAGUCGGCCCCUAAGGCGAGGCCAAACGGCGUAGCUGAUGGGAAUCAGGCAAACAUUCCUGAACCGCUAUAUCAAUAAAAGUGACGCAGAAGUAGACCAAUCGAGGUGAAUGGCUAUCCGAAGAUUGAAGAAUUCUGCCGAGAAAAGCGAGAUAUGGCGACCGUACCGUAAACCGACACAGGUAGACGAGUUGAAUAUACUAAGGCGCUCGAGUGAGCCGUGGUUAAGGAACUCGGCAAAUUAACCCCGUAACUUCGGGAGAAGGGGUGCUCCGUUAAUCGGAGCCGCAGAGAAAUGGCCCAAGCGACUGUUUAACAAAAACACAUCACUCUGCCAAGACGUUAAGUCGAUGUAUAGGGUGUGACACCUGCCCGGUGCCGGAAGGUUAAGAGGAGAGGUUAUCGCAAGAGACGCUUCGAAUCGAAGCCCCGGUAAACGGCGGCCGUAACUAUAACGGUCCUAAGGUAGCGAAAUUCCUUGUCGGGUAAGUUCCGACCUGCACGAAUGGUGUAACGAUUUGGGCACUGUCUCAACCACGGGCUCGGCGAAAUUGUGGUACCGGUGAAGACGCCGGUUACCCGCAUAUGGACGGAAAGACCCUAUGCACCUUUACUGUAGCUUAUUAUUGGGUUUGGAUGCAUCAUGCGUAGGAUAGGUGGGAGACUAUGAAGCGGGGCUUUCGGGCUUCGUGGAGUCACCGGUGAAAUACCACCCUUGAUGCAUUCGGAUUCUAACCCGGCGGAGUGUAUCCGCGGGGACAGUGAUAGGUAGGCAGUUUGACUGGGGCGGUCGCCUCCUAAAUUGUAACGGAGGCUCACCAAGGUUCCCUCAGCACGGUUGGUAAUCGUGCGUUGAGUGCAAAAGCA